GACGUAGGGCGCGAGCGUUGUCCGGAUUGAUUGGGCGUAAAGAGCUCGUAGGCGGCUCGUUGCGUCGGCUGUGAAAACCCGCAGCUCAACUGUGGGCCUGCAGCUGAUACGGGCGGGCUGGAGUUCGGUAGGGGAGACUGGAAUUCCUGGUGUAGCGGUGAAAUGCGCAGAUAUCAGGAGGAACACCGGUGGCGAAGGCGGGUCGCUGGGCCGAUACUGACGCUGAGGAGCGAAAGCGUGGGGAGCGAACAGG
rnacentral:rRNA from 1 species